rfam:Brachypodium distachyon strain Bd21 chromosome 5, whole genome shotgun sequence.
GAUGUACUCCUUCCGUCUCAUAUUAAGUGACUCGAAUUUGUCUAAAUAUGAACGUAUCUAUAUACUAAAAUACGUCUAGAUACAUUUAAUAUUUUGGCACUUAAUAUGGGAUGGAGGGAGUAUUAU